rnacentral:misc_RNA from 1 species
AUGCCCUGGACAGACACGUUGAAUCCCUGGUACAGGCCCCGCAGGCCAUCGGACUUGAAGAUCUUGACAAUGCAGUCACCCAGCCCCGUGAACUCCCUCUCGGAUACUCCUUUGCCCACGUCAGCCGCCAGCCGGGUCCUGGCAAAAUCCAGCGGGUAGACGAAGCAGAGCGAGGUGGCUCCAGCCGCGCCACCGGACGCCAGGUUGCCCGCGAAGUAGCGCCAGAACUGCUUGUGCCUGUCCACUCCCCCCAGGAAGAUCUGCUUGUACUUGUCCUUGAAGGCGAAGUUGAGAGCUUGGGUGGGGAAGUAACGGAUCACGUUGGCCAGGUUACCCCUCCAGAAGGAGAGGAAGCCCUGCUCCUUAGGGAUUCUCACCACACAAUCAAUGAUCCCUUUGUACUGCUUCUCAGCACUGAUCUGUUUGCUGGCAU